rnacentral:rRNA from 1 species
GAUGAACGCUGGCGGCGUGCCUAAUACAUGCAAGUCGAGCGAAGCGGGGACGGGUGAGUAACCCGUGGAUAACCUCCUAUAAGACUGGGAUAACUUCGGGAAACCGGAGCUAAACCGGAUGCAUAUAGAUGGAUCCGCGCUGAAUUAGCUAGUUAAUAAGGUAACGGCCUACCAAGGCAACUGUGCAUAGCCGACCUGAGAGAGUGGUCGGCCAAACAUGAACAGAAACACGGUCCAGACUCCUACGAGAGGCAGCAGUAGGGGAUCUGCCGCAAUGGGCGAAAGCCUGACGGAGCAACGCCGCGUGAGUGAUGAAGGUCUUCGGAUCGUAAAACUCUGUUAAUAGAGAAGCGGUACCUAAUCAGAAAGCCACGGGUAACUACAUGCCAGCGGCCGCGGUAAUUC